GACGAACGCUGGCGGCGUGCUUAACACAUGCAAGUGGAGCGACGAACCAGGGCUUGCCCUGGGGCAGAGCCGCGAACGGGUGAGUAACACGUGGGUAACGUGCCCCGAUGAUCGGGACAACCCGGGGAAACCCGGGCUAAUACCGAAUGUGCUCCCCUCACACCAGUGAGGGAUGGAAAGGAAGCUUCGGCCUCCGCAUCGGGAUCGGCCCGCGGCCCAUUAGCUUGUUGGUGAGGUAACGGCUCACCAAGGCUGCGAUGGGUAGCUGGUCUGAGAGGACGAUCAGCCACACUGGGACUGAGACACGGCCCAGACUCCUACGGGAGGCAGCAGUGGGGAAUCUUGCGCAAUGCGCGAAAGCGUGACGCAGCAACGCCGCGUGGGGAAGACGGCCU
rnacentral:rRNA from 1 species